UCAUGAAAGGUUUAAUUUUUGCAAUAUUUUUUGUCAUGGACACGUUUUAGUGUUGUUGAUGGUGUUGUUGUAUUUAUAUUUUUUGUACUUCGUAGACCUAUUACUGUGUGUUGACGAAAAGGUUCAAGAUUUUGUUUUUAGAAGGUAAUUUUGAACAAAAUCUUGAACAUGUUUUGUUGUUGUUGAUGGUAUUGUUGUAAUUUUUUUAUACUUCGUACGCAUAUUACCAUGGGUUGAAGAAAAUGUUCAAGUUUUUGUUUUUAAAAUGUAUUUUUGAAUAAAAUCUUGAACAUUUAUUUGUCUGUGAAUUUUUCUUUUCUAUGGCCAUUUGAAACGCUAGGGAUAUGGUGUUUGGGUGUUAAAAUUGCACAUAAAAGAUACAUUUUACGAUUUAUUGUUUGAUUUGAUGAAUGUAAUUUUUUUUCUUUAUUAAAGUUCUUAAAGUUCUUAACUUUUUAGUUGUUCUUGGUUGUUCUUCUUUUUCAAAGUUGUAGAGGAUGUGGUUUUCAAAGGUUACAAGAUCAGUGCUUGAAUCUACAAGCAGAAAGGAUUCAUUAUUCAUUUAUGACAGUGUAUUGCAAUGGUCUUAUUUAAAAAAAAGAUUAUUUUUUUACAUCUUCCAUGUUUAUUUGGUUUUUAUUUUUAUUUCAUUUAUGCUAAUUUAUAUUUAGACACAACCUCUGUAAUUGUUAAAUGAUUUACUUCUAUAAUUUAUAUUUAACUCUUGGUCAUAACUCUCCAAGUCUCCAAGGGGAUUCAACAAAGACUGUUCCAACAGGUAAGAUAGACAACAAAAACAAGCUUGGAGAUGCUGCUCAAGAGGUGUUGGUUGAUUUCAAGGAAAAUCCCAAGGCUGCAUAGGAAUAUAUGAAGAAUCCUAUGACGAUGAACAAGAUCCAAAAGGUGGUCAAUGUUGGAAUUGUCCAAAUGAGUUGCUUGGGUGUACUACAAGUAUUGGGGCAUAUGUGAAGCUUGGAGAAGAAUCUAAAUGCAUUAAGAUCACUUUUUGAAGGGACUACAGAAAGGAACACAUUACUAUUAUGUGGAAAAUUAGAGGAGUGCGUUUCUUUAGUUAAUUCAAUUGCAAACCCAAAUGUUGCAUUUGAUGUAAUAGAAAAAGGCAACAAGUCGCUUGAGUUGAAGAUUCAAAACCAGGGAGCAUAUCAACAUGACUGUUAGAGUAAACUGUAGAGAUGAACAAAGGAACAAUUAUUAUAGAUGUUAUCACCUACAGUAAGAAGUUGCAAGACAAAUUCUAGAGUCUUAUCACCGAUUUUGUUUUGUUGUUUUGCAAUUAGCUUUGGUUCACUGUAUCUCAUAAAGUUGAGAUAUUUUAA